UGAAGAUACUAGGCACCUUCGGUGUCCGAGUUGUAAUUUGAAGAAGGUAACUUUCGGAGUUGGCUCUUGUCUAUGUUCCUUGGAACAGGACGUCACAGAGGGUGAGAAUCCCGUGCGAUGAGAUGUCCAACUCUAUGUAAAGUGCUUUCGAAGAGUCGAGUUGUUUGGGAAUGCAGCUCUAAGUGGGUGGUAAAUUCCAUCUAAAGCUAAAUAUUGGCGAGAGACCGAUAGCGAACAAGUACAGUGAUGGAAAGAUGAAAAGAACUUUGAAAAGAGAGUGAAAAAGUACGUGAAAUUGUUGAAAGGGAAGGGUUUGAGAUCAGACUUGGUAUUUUGUAUGUCUUGCUUUCGGGUGGGGCCUCUGCAGUUUACUGGGCCAGCAUCGGUUUGGACGGUAGGAUAAUGACAUUGGAAUGUGGCACUACUUCGGUGGUGUGUUAUAGACUUUGUUGAUACUGCCUGUCUAGACCGAGGACUGCGUCUUUGACUAGGAUGCUGGCAUAAUGAUCCUAAACCGCCCG
rnacentral:rRNA from 1 species